rnacentral:rRNA from 1 species
GAUGAACGCUGACAGAAUGCUUAACACAUGCAGGUCAACUUGAACUUCGGUUUGGGUGGCGGACGGGUGAGUCACGCGUAAAGAACUUGCCUCACAGCUAGGGACAACAUUUGGAAACGAAUGCUAAUACCUGAUAUUAUGAUUUUAGGGCAUCCUAGAAUUAUGAAAGCUAUAUGCGCUGUGAGAGAGCUUUGCGUCCCAUUAGCUAGUUGGAGAGGUAACGGCUCACCAAGGCGAGGAUGGGUAGCCGGCCUGAGAGGGUGAACGGCCACAAGGGGACUGGGACACGACCAUUACUCCUACGGGAGGCAGCGGUGGGGAAUAUUGGACAAUGGACCAAGAGUCUGAUCCAGGAAUUCUGUGUGCACGAUGAAGUUUUUCGGAAUGAAAAGUGCUUUCAGUUGGGAAGAAAAAAAUGACGGUACCAACAGAAGAAGUGACGGCUAACUACGUG